GGUAGCAUGGCCGAGCGGUCUAAGGCGCUGGUUUAAGGCACCAGUCAUUUCGAUGGCGUGGGUUCGAAUCCCGCUGCUGCCA
rfam:Ciona savignyi cont_12180, whole genome shotgun sequence.